rnacentral:rRNA from 1 species
AACGAACGCUGGCGGCAGGCUUAACACAUGCAAGUCGAACGCAUCCUUCGGGGUGAGUGGCAGACGGGUGAGUAACGCGUGGGAACGUGCCCUUCAGUUCGGGAUAACCCAGGGAAACUUGGGCUAAUACCGGAUACGUGCGAGAGCAGAAAGAUUUAUCGCUGAAGGAUCGGCCCGCGUCUGAUUAGCUAGUUGGUGGGGUAAUGGCCAACCAAGGCGACGAUCAGUAGCUGGUCUGAGAGGAUGAUCAGCCACAUUGGGACUGAGACACGGCCCAAACUCCUACGGGAGGCAGCAGUGGGGAAUAUUGGACAAUGGGCGCAAGCCUGAUCCAGCCAUGCCGCGUGAGUGAUGAAGGCCUUAGGGUUGUAAAGCUCUUUCGUCCGGGACGAUAAUGACGGUACCGGAAGGAGAAGCCCCGGCUAACUUCGUGUCAGCCGCCGCAGUAA